UACGGAGGGGGCGAGCGUUGUCCGAAGUUACUGGGCGUAAAGCGCGCGUAGGCGGGUUGGUAAGUCCGCUGUGAAAGCCCGGAGCUUAACUCCGGAGGGUCGGUGGAUACUGCCAGUCUUGAAGGUGCUAGGGGGAGAUGGAAUUACCGGUGUAGCGGUGAAAUGCGUAGAUAUCGGUAGGAACACCAGUGGCGAAGGCGGUCUCCUGGGGCAUUCUUGACGCUGAGGAGCGAAAGCGUGGGGAGCAAACAGG
rnacentral:rRNA from 1 species